rnacentral:sRNA from 1 species
UGAGCUGCCGAAGCCGCCGUCCUGCUCUCCCGCGUGGGCUUCUCUAAUUCCAUUUUUUUUUUAGAUUCGCUCGGGCCUAGCCGUCCUUGGAGCCCGAUAUUCGGGCUGGGCGGUUCCGCGGCCUGGGCCUUAGGGGCUUAACAGUAGCAACAGAAGCAGCGGCGGCGGCGGCGGCAGCAGCAGCAGCAGAAACCUCUUCCCGAACACGAGCACCACAGGCGCCCGAAGGCCGGAACAGGCGUUUAGAGAAAAUGGCAGACGAUAUUGAUAUUGAAGCAAUGCUUGAGGCUCCUUACAAGAAGGAUGAGAACAAGUUGAGCAGUGCCAACGGCCAUGAAGAACGUAGCAAAAAACAAACUUUCUGCCUCCUUGGAAAGCUCUACAUCUCCUUGUGAUUGGAGUGUGGGUUUCAAGAUUCCAGAAGGAGGAAAAAAAGCAAGAGCAGAAGUCGUAGUCAUGAACGAAAGAGAAGCAAAAGUAAGGAACGGAAACGAAGUAGAGAUAGAGAAAGGAAAAAGAGCAAAAGCCGUGAAAGAAAACGAAGUAGAAGCAAAGAGAGGCGACGGAGCCGCUCAAGAAGUCGAGAUCGAAGAUUUAGAGGCCGCUACAGAAGUCCUUAGUAUGUAACCAUAGUUAUGAUUUUG